CCGUCUCUCCGGGGUCGAACCUCCCAGACCUCAGUUGGACAGUCGCCCGGAGGUCCAUGGGAGAUGCCGCGGGCGCAACGCCUCUGACCCGCCCUUAACCCCGUUCCCCCCAGUGAUGUCACUCAGGAAGCGACUCGUCCCCAGAAGCCCCGGCACCGGGACCUUCCGUCAUUGGCCGGGAAUCCCAGGAAUCCUCCCCAUCUGUGGGCCACGCCGCUCCUCGGCGUUCCUCUGCCUCUACGGAUGCCGACCGGGAAUUUCGAAUGGAACGAGACCGUCGUCCGGAGGAUACCCUCAGACAGAGGACCAGAGGAAGAACCCGCGGGCUGGGAUGGAGGCCUGGACGAGUCCAGAGAGCCUCCCCCUCCCGACUCCAAUCCAUUCUGAUAUCCCACCUCUUCCAACAGUCUUUCCUCGAUUAAAUCCCGCCCCACCAAGUUGUAUAAAUCCAUCAGUCGACUCUAAAACCCGUGCUAUUGUUCAUUCCCAUCCUCAGCGUGCUCGUAAUAAUAAUAAUAAUAAUGAUAAUGUUGGUAUUUGUUCAGCGCAUACUACGUGCAGAGCACCGUUCUAA
rnacentral:lncRNA from 1 species